rnacentral:rRNA from 1 species
UACGGAGGGGGCUAGCGUUGUUCGGAAUUACUGGGCGUAAAGCGCACGUAGGCGGCGAUUUAAGUCAGAGGUGAAAGCCCGGGGCUCAACCCCGGAAUAGCCUUUGAGACUGGAUUGCUAGAAUCUUGGAGAGGCGAGUGGAAUUCCGAGUGUAGAGGUGAAAUUCGUAGAUAUUCGGAAGAACACCAGUGGCGAAGGCGGCUCGCUGGACAAGUACUGACGCUGAGGUGCGAAAGCGUGGGGAGCAAACAGG